rnacentral:rRNA from 1 species
UGGGGAAUUUUGGACAAUGGGCGAAAGCCUGAUCCAGCAAUGCCGCGUGUGUGAAGAAGGCCUUCGGGUUGUAAAGCACUUUUGUCCGGAAAGAAAUCCUUGGCUCUAAUACAGUCGGGGGAUGACGGUACCGGAAGAAUAAGCACCGGCUAACUACGUGCCAGCAGCCGCGGUAAUACGUAGGGUGCAAGCGUUAAUCGGAAUUACUGGGCGUAAAGCGUGCGCAGGCGGUUUGCUAAGACCGAUGUGAAAUCCCCGGGCUCAACCUGGGAACUGCAUUGGUGACUGGCAGGCUAGAGUAUGGCAGAGGGGGGUUAGAAUUCCACGUGUAGCAGUGAAAUGCGUAGAGAUGUGGAGGAAUACCGAUGGCGAAGGCAGCCCCCUGGGCCAAUACUGACGCUCAUGCACGAAAGCGUGGGGAGCAAACAGGAUUAGAUACCCUGGUAGUCCACGCCCUAAACGAUGUCAACUAGUUGUUGGGGACUUCAUUUUCCUUAGUAACGUAGCUAACGCGUGAAGUUGACCGCCUGGGGAGUACGGUCGCAAGAUUAAAACUC